AAGUAUGCAAUGAAGAAGAAGGAAGUCAAUAUAUUUAUGAAAGCGAACUGGGGAUAGUGAAAGCCUAGUACAAUGGUAUUGAUGAAAGGCACUUCUGAGCAUAUUUAAGAGAGAAUACCAUGAGGUAUUAAAUAGGGUGGAACCGCGGAAGUAACCUUUCGUCCCUAUA
rnacentral:sRNA from 1 species